UACAUGUGGGGCAAGCGUUGUUCGGAAUUACUGGGCGUAAAGGGUGCGUAGGCGGUCGGGUAAGUCUGACGUGAAAUCUCCAAGCUCAACUUGGAAAUGGCGUCGGAUACUAUUCGGCUCGAGGAAUGGAGGGGAGACUGGAAUUCUCGGUGUAGCAGUGAAAUGCGUAGAUAUCGAGAGGAACACCAGUGGCGAAGGCGGGUCUCUGGGCCGAUACUGACGCUGAGGAGCGAAAGCGUGGGGAGCGAACAGG
rnacentral:rRNA from 1 species